GAGCCCGUAGCUCAGCCAGGUCAGAGCGCUGGUCUUAUAAGCCAGAGGUCCCAGGUUCAAAUCCUGGCGGGCUCA
rnacentral:tRNA from 1 species